UACGGGGGGAGCAAGCGUUGUUCGGAUUUACUGGGCGUAAAGGGCGCGUAGGCGGUCAGCACAAGUCAGUUGUGAAAUCUCCGAGCUUAACUCGGAACGGUCAACUGAUACUGUGCGACUAGAGUGCGGAAGGGGCAACUGGAAUUCUCGGUGUAGCGGUGAAAUGCGUAGAUAUCGAGAGGAACACCUGCGGCGAAGGCGGGUUGCUGGGCUGACACUGACGCUGAACUGCGAAAGCUAGGGGAGCGAACGGG
rnacentral:rRNA from 1 species